rnacentral:lncRNA from 1 species
GGGUAGGGGCCCUGUGGGGAAGGGGAGGGCCUAGGGACUCCGGGGGGCCAGACGGGGUGCACCUGCUGCAGCCGGACACUAGGGAUCUGAAAAUCCAUCAAGAUGGAAACCUUCCCCGAGGUUAGAGGACCGGGAUCCACUACUUUUCAGUCUUCUGAGAAUCCUUCAAGCCUCAGUGCCUGGAUGCCUGGACUUCGGACUUCGAGCUCCUAAGCAGAAAAAGGAGUCUUUUUUUUUUUUUAAACUUUUCUCUCUUCCAUUUCAAGGCUGAGAACAUACGACUUUGAAGGCCACUAUCUACGGAUACGCGCUUCUCCAAACCUUGGAACCCGAGGUCUAGCCUUGGAACAAGUCGCUGCCGCCUCACUGCCUCUUCUCGCCUGGAAAAGUCCCAGCGCCGUGGGAUACUGCAGGGCACAGUGCUAGGUCCUGGGCUCCUUUUGCCAUGGUCCCCAUCACUGUCAGGUUCUUGAGAUUUCAGACUUUGGGUAUGGAAACCAGCUGACCGGUUUUCUUGGCGAGGUGAAUCGGAAACCUGUGGAGACAUUUCUCAAUCGUGAUUCAUCUACGUGCCGAGGUAAAGCACUGGGCUUUGGCACCUCAGCCCCUGGGCCCCAGGGGUCAGCAGUGGAACCGAUUGGACAUCUCAGAAGUACGUGUGUGUGUGUGUGUGUGUGUGUGUGUGUGUGUGUGUGUGUGUGUGUCCCUAGCCCUUGACAGAUACCCACCUUCUGUAAGUCCCUUCUAAAAAGUCCACAAGCUCUGCUGGCUGUAGUAGGAAUGACCCUCAGCUGGACUUUGGGAACUAACAUGGACGGUAGAAGAAGCUAACAGGAAGCCUGGGGGGAAAUUAGUUUGAAUUUUGCCUGGUCCAUUGGGGCCACUUGUGUUGGUGCUCAGCACACCUGGUGUGAAAGAACCCAACUUCACUGCUGAGAAUAGAGGACAGCACCCCGCGGGAACUGGACACUGUCUCUCAGCUACACAGAUUUUAUUUAUUAUGUAUACAACAUUCUGCUUCCAUGUAUAUCUGCACACCAGAAGAG